UGACUUGAUGAGGUAGAGUAAUGCCAUGGUAAGGCAUAAGUCAUCGGUUCAAAUCCGAU
rnacentral:tRNA from 1 species